rfam:Rhizoctonia solani AG-1 IA unplaced genomic scaffold scaffold21, whole genome shotgun sequence.
GGGCAUGUAGCGCAGUUGGUAGCGCGCUCGCUUAGCAAUGGCAUACUGCCUACAUGGCGUGCGAGAGGUCCUGGAUUCAAAUUCCAGCUUGUCCA